GGCCGCCUGGCGAAAUGGCAUCGCGUCUGACUACGACGGGGCCCUAACGGGUAAUCUAUCAGGCUGGCGGGCUCAUGGGGGGUGCAUCGACGGAGAUUGCAGGUUCGAGACCUGCGGUGGUCA